UUGAAGGGGAAGGGUUUCAAUCGGCGGCGAGACUGGUUCAACAGCGGGAAGACUAGUUCGGCGGCGAGACGGGUGGAACAAGAGGACAAUUCUGUGAAGAAAGCACUUCAAAGCCAUCUUCACCAAACCUCAAGAGCUCAGGCACUAGGAAAGAGCAUGAUGAACUUGAAUCAGCAAAAGCUGAGAUGACAGAAUUGAGACAAGAAAAUGCAAGAUUAAAGAUGAUGUCAGAGCAAAUAGAGAAGGAUUAGCAUGAUGAACUUUUGUUUUUGUUAUUUACGAAGAAUGAUGA